rnacentral:rRNA from 1 species
CACGUAGGGCGCGAGCGUUGUCCGGAAUUAUUGGGCGUAAAGAGCUCGUAGGCGGCCUGUUGCGUCCGCUGUGAAAGCCCGGGGCUUAACCCCGGAUCUGCGGUGGGUACGGGCAGACUAGAGUGAUGUAGGGGAGACUGGAAUUCCUGGUGUAGCGGUGAAAUGCGCAGAUAUCAGGAGGAACACCCAUGGCGAAGGCGGCACUCUGG